rnacentral:lncRNA from 1 species
UGCUGUUUUGGAAAUGAAAUUAGUGUUGAACUGAUUUGGCAUUCGUUGAAAUUGAUUGACUUGUUUUGAGAUUGUUUUGAAGCUUUUAAAUACAGUAUUCAUUUGUUAAUUCAGGAACGAAUAAAAGAACGGCAACAGGUCCUGAAGUGAAACCUUACGAAUGUGAUGUUUGUAAUAAAAGAUUUACCACUCUAAAGUCGGCAGGGCGCCACAAAAAGGCUCACACUGGAGUGAAACCUUAUCAAUGCAAUGUGUGCCAGAAAGGAUUUGUCCGAGGCGAUAGCCUGAAAAGGCAUAUACGAACACACGACGACGAUAAACCUUAUCAAUGUGAUGUUUGCAACAAACGAUUUGCAGAUCCAUCGAAUUUACUUCGGCAUAAAAGAACGCAUAACAGACAAAAACCUUUAGAAUGUGAUGUUUGUAAAAAGCGAUUUCAUCGAAUUGGGAAUAUAAACCGUCACAAAGAAACACAUAGUUAAACCUAUAAAAUAAGAACCUUUAAAAUAGACAAUGUUUGACGGCCAAUAGCCACCUUAAUAUAUUGGGAAUCUAAACCGUCAUUCCGGGAAUCAUUGGGAAUCUAAACCGUCACAAACAAACACAUACUUAAACCUCCGAUUUUAGUAAAAUAAAAACCUUUAAAAUAGACAAUGUUUGACGUAUUUAGUGGUCCUAUUUCAACAAAAACUAUCUAAGGCCACUUAAAAAAAUAGUUGGUUAGCGUCCUUAACUUUUGCCAAAAAGUGAGCG